UCAAGUAUUGCUUGAAAUAGAUAAAUUUUGUUAUAGAGACACGUUUACAGUAAUUAUAUUUUUUAACACAUAUAGUAAAGAAAAAAAAAUAGAUCACGGAAAACUGAAUAACUGAAUAAUUAUUGAUCAUGUUGGUAAUUUAUAUUUUUCUUAGCUGUAUAAUUAGCGUAUCUUUUAACGCACAAGCUGAAAUAAUUAUAGAAAAGCGUUGUUUGGAAAAUGGAAAUCGUUGUUAUAAACAUCACGAUUGCUGCUCUAAUAAUUGUUUUCCAUUUAAUUUUGAUAACAAUACUUAUUAUCUCUGUACUUCAACUGGUAUCAUUAUGAAGAAAGACAAAAUAACUAUUUGUAUGCCUAAUGGACACAGUUGUCUCACAUACUCCGAUUGUUGUUCUCAACUAUGUAAAAACAUCGGCUUAACAACAAUGCGAUUGUGCGUUGGAGGUAACUAAGGUAAAAUGUCCAGAGGCCCAAAUGCAGUUCAACUUCCUUCAACAAAUUAUUUAUUAAUUGGAUUAUAAUUCAAUAAUUUAUAAUAAAAAAAUGCUUAUUGUAAUAAUUUAGAGUUAAUGA